GAUGGGAGGAAUGAGAGAGAUCACGAGAUCCUACUACGAGAGAGCAAGCGAGGCCGAGAAGGAAAAGAUCAAACUAACCUUCGCAAAAUUCGACAUCAACGGCGACGGGAAGAUAACCAUUGCGGAGCUCAAAAGCCUGAUGAGAAUCCCGGAAGACGUGUUCCAUAAACUAGAUGUGAAUGGCGACGGGUGCCUCGAUUUCGACGAGUUUCUGUGCCUUCACUACAUCAGUGCUAGUAAGAUGCCGUUAGUCUAUUGCGACGGCUGCUCUCAGUUUAUGGAGGGCCCUUACUUCUCUUGCUUGCUUUGCCUCGGAAGAGGCGCUAAUACGUACGACCUCUGCUGUUCUUGCUACCGCCGCGGUGCCGAGUCGUCGCAUGAGCACUCGGUCGAGCACAUGGUGGAUCAUCUCUCUCUGCUCAAGCUCUUCAGGGAAGAAAAAGCUCAAAACAAGAAAGAAAUUGAUGAAAUUCGCGAAAUUGCCAAAGCCCUUCACCGAGCCAGCUCUCCUCAAGUCCAAGAAUUAGCAACCGAGUUCUACCAAUCCCUGGACUCGGACGGAGACGGCCGAGUCGAUCUGUCCGAGUUCCUUACUUCAUGACUGAAGUAGGCUUUUCCUACAAGAAAACCCCCACUUUAUUCGACGAGCUCGACGUAGACAGCGACGGCACCCUCGACUUCUUCGAGGUCUUGACGCUCCUCUACAUCAUCAAGAGCGGCCGCCCUCAAUGCGACUGCUGCGAAAAAAUCAUCCCCGGUGUGUUCUUCUCCUGCACCGAAUGCUUUAAGAAUCCCAAAAGCUCGUUCGAUCUGUGCAAGGAUUGUUUCAUGAAGGGGAGUUGCGACCAUAAACACGGCGGCCGGGCUCAGUUUUUGGACAGUCAUACGUUGUUGCAGGCUAUGAGAUAUCCGACGAUUGCCGAUGUGUCAGGCUUAACAAUUCAUGAGGUAGUGAAUGUGAAUAGAUCCACAAAUGACAUAGUUCCAUCAAACAAAAAGUGGAGCAAAAGGAAGGCUGCAUAUUAUGCACUUGACACAGCAGCCAAAUUCGAGACCAUUUCCGACGCCCUAGACCUCUGCACUAUUAUGUGACAAUAUGAGAGAGCCAUAUAAAUUCAAAAAGAAAAGGGCUAUGAAUGUUGAUUGGACUACUUUUUUUUCUUGUUCAUGUAAUCUUUAUCUUUUGUUUUCGGGUGUAUGUUAAGUGUGAAAGACAUUAUUUAAAAUGUAGUACUAAAGAUAACUAUUUCGUACAUUA